AAUGCCCUCUCUCCUCACUUACCCAAGGCCUCCAUCUCGAAGCACAGCCUGGGAGCAGGGGCAGCCUAACAGGGCGUAUGAACCCGGCCUCAUCUCCCCAGGGGAGGUCAAGGUCAAGGGAGAUGCCGAAGCUUAAGAAGGCUGCGAUGGGGUGACAGCUUUGACCAUGUGGUUUGUGGUCAUGGGGAUGGAGGAGCAAUGAGACAGAAGAAACUUGGUGUCCUGGUCAACUCAUGGCUCAGAGUUGAGCUGCCUUUUGCCCUGGACCCGCGGCCUACUCUGAAUUGUUACGUGAGAGAAAAAGAAUUCUGCCAUGUUUGGGUCAUUUUACUUGGGGAUUUUUGUUACAGCAGCUUAACCUCUAUCUGACUAAUACAGAGACUGAAGGUGGGAUGCGGGUUUACCAUAAAAGUCUACAACAUGUGGCCUUGGCCUAUCAAUUAGGCAAUGUAGAAGAAAAUACAGACACGGCAGGUGGAAAGCUGAGGGCCCCUGCCACUCCAUCAGAUUGGUGAAGGCCCACCCUGCAAUAACCCAGAAGGCAGACCACGUCACCGAUCAUUAGGAUUUUUCUACCUGGCAGUGGCAAUGGGAGUCAGCUCUGUGGCAAAGUUCUGAUUAAGAAUGUCAUCUUCCCACCCAGCCUUUUGUUUCUGGUACCUCAAGGUAGCUAGUGUUUAAAUGAGGCAGCAGGGCUGGGCUGGGCAGGAAAGCCAGUUAGUGAAAAAGGAGAGUUGGUAGCUUGAGAACCGUGUCCAGCAAGGAUCUCUGGGUGUGGCACUCCUGUCUGAAAGGGAUUGGAAGCAAAGAGACCGGAAAGUUUCCAAGUUUAUGGUAUUUUGGAGAGCCAAAGAAGCCAAAAGUCUGGCCUACAAAAUCCUGUGAUUUCUCCAUCCCUAAAUAAAGCUCUAGACCCCCAUAACUCCACCAACGGAAGUGAGCUGAGAGAGCUGUAUAGCCCCAAAGAGGGCGUUCUCUCCAACCCCCACGCAGAUGUGGGCCUGAGGAUAAUAAUGGUCAAGGAAGAAGCUCCCAGAGGGCCAAGCCAGGGGCCCCAGCGGACAGUGGACAAGGAGGUUCCCCCCAGAGCAGAAAAGAGAGGCAGAGUGUCCGCCAGAGCAGGGAGUCUGCAGCCUUCUUGCCCGGCGAGGGUGAUAACUGCGUGGACGAGUGGUCGCCGUGUGCUCUCUGUUCUCCCCUUUUCCUAACAGGUGAUUUGAUGACUGUUAUCCCUUCCGGCUUCAUGUCGUGUAUUGCAGGAGUGGGUGUGAAGUGGCGGGCAGACGAUUACUUUUUAGUGUUCGGGCCACUAAAACAGCAGGGCCACAUCUGGACCCAAGGAAGGGGACUGUGCACCACCAUGAGAUCCUACUCUUGGAGCUGGAGCAGUGACUGGAAUCCACUGCACUUUGGCUGGGCACAUGGCUACCCAGCUGGAGAUACAGUUCCCAGCCUCCCUGGAGGCGUGUAGUCCCGCAGUUUUGGCCAAUGGGAUGUGGACAGAAGUGAUGGGUGCAACUUCUACAUGACAUCUUUCUGGGGACGUGGCUUGCCCCCCGCUUCAUCUUUCCCUUUCUCAGAGGCUGGAACAUGGAUGUGAUGACGUGUGCCAGUUUUGAACAGGGGGAUGAGGACACCACUCUGUGGACGGCAGGACAUCAAGACAGAAGGAAGCUGAUCUCCUGAACCACCUUGCAGAGCUGAGGGGAGCAGAAGAGUCCGCAUGCCCAGACUCCAGCCCUGCUCUGCUCUGUUAGAGGAGAGACCCGAGUGAGCAGGGGUCUUGUUCGAGUCGCGGCAUUUGCGUUUGUUUCCUCAACUUAGUCUGUUCCUCACCUGUUACACUCCCUUUUUCUAAGUCUGAGCUUUCAUUGCGAUUAUGCAGUAUUUUGUUCCUCCUGUAUUUAUCAAAUUUGGAAAGUGUUUGGUCAUUCUCUACUCAUAUAUUUUUGUCCCCUAUUUUUCUGCUCCUUCCUUAUUCACAUCGACGUGUGAGGAGGAGGGGUUAAAUUAAUCACAAAUUAAUCCUUUAACCCCCUACCCAUUGUCACGGUUCUCAGGAUCACGGGCACUCCUGUCCCACUGAUGGAGGAGAAUGGAUGUCCCUGGACAGCUGGGUACCUUCGCUGCAAGUCUCCUGCUGGGGUACCAGGGGGUGUUCACUAACAGGCUGUGUGGGGUUAGGUGGGGACAGAUUUGGAAUUACACUUUUGGGAAGAAGGGCAGGUGUGUAUCCUGGGCACCAAAGAGCAGACUAUACUGAGCAUUUAUUGUUUUGAUAAUUUAGCACUUUUUCCUCCUUUUUUUUUUUCUGGGGAAUGAGUCUUACCUCAUUCCUCAGUGCGUAGUUCAAGUGGGAGUGGCCACCCUUUCUCACAUGACCUUCUUAUUGGUCUAAGGAUGAGCACCUGACCCACACUGGGCCAAUCAGAGUUCUUCUCCAUGCAGGAAAUACAGUUCCUCUGUGAGACUAAGAGUGUGGACCUGGGUCCUGCUGGUGGCCUAGUUUCCAUUCGUUAUGGAGGAGAUCAUUAGGAGACAAUGAAAUGGACAUUCAGAAGAACGGAUGAGAGAUGAGAUGAGAGAUGGCCAGAAAAGUCCGGCCUGGUGCCAGUUGUCCCUGAGGCCCAGCCACACUCCAGCUCUUCCUAUAGUUAGUUAUAUGAGCCAAUACACUCUGCUUUUGUCUAAAAUAGUUCACUUGCAUUUCUAUCACUUGCAACCAUAAAGAAAUCUGUCAAUACAGUUGGGAUGCAGGACAGGGAGCGAUCAAGGAGUGGUUAACUUUUAUUGCCCACCUGCUUUGGCCAAGCAUUUGUUCAUAUCCACAUGUGAGUUACAGUGGCCAGGACAGCUGGCCCCUUAUUGCUCGGCCUCUCUGCUGGGUCAAUGAAAGUUAAGUGAAUAAAUGAAUACAUCUCUCUUGCUCCCCAGCAAGACUCCCCAGACAGGUUCCUGAUGGCCACCUGAAAAGACUUCCUUUA